CAAUAGCGUAUAUUAAAGUUGUUGCAGUUAAAAAGCUCGUAGUUGGAUUUCGGGAUGGCCCGGCCGGUCUGCCGCAAGGUAUGUUACUGGCCGAGCUGUUCUUCUUCGCAAAGACUGUGUGUGCUCUUAACUGAGUGUGCUCAGGAUCUGUGACGUUUACUUUGAAAAAAUUAGAGUGUUCAAAGCAAGCCAGCGCUUGAAUACAUAAGCAUGGAAUAAUGGAAUAGGACUUUGGUUCUAUUUUGUUGGUUUCUGGAACCUUAGUAAUGAUUAAGAGAGACAGUUGGGGGCAUUCGUAUCUCGUUGUCAGAGGUGAAAUUCUUGGAUUUACGAAAGACGAACUACUGCGAAAGCAUUUGCCAAGAAUGUUUUCAUUAA
rnacentral:rRNA from 1 species